rnacentral:rRNA from 1 species
GUGCCAGCAGCCGCGGUAACACGUAGGCACCAAGCGUUAUCCGGAUUUAUUGGGCGUAAAGAGCUCGUAGGCGGUUCGGUAAGUCGGGUGUGAAAACUCUGGGCUCAACCCAGAGAGGCCACCCGAUACUGCUGUGACUAGAGUGCGGUAGGGGAGCGGGGAAUUCCUGGUGUAGCGGUGAAAUGCGCAGAUAUCAGGAGGAACACCAGCGGCGAAGGCGCCGCUCUGGGCCGUAACUGACGCUGAGGAGCGAAAGCAUGGGUAGCAAACAGGAUUAGAUACCCUGGUAGUCC